rnacentral:pre_miRNA from 1 species
GUAGUUUUAGUCAGUAGCGUGGUAGUUUUAGUCCUACUGACUAAAACUACACGCUACUGACUAAAACUAC